rnacentral:rRNA from 1 species
AAUCAACGCUGGCGGCGUGCCUCAGACAUGCAAGUCGAACGAUUAAGACUUCCUUCGGGAAGUGUAUAAAGUGGCGCACGGGUGAGUAGCACGUAAGUAAUCUACCCUCGAGUGGGGAAUAACGUUCGGAAACGAACGCUAAUACCGCAUAAUGCAGUGGCAUCGCAAGAUGACAGUUGUUAAAGGAGUAAUUCGCUUGAGGAGGAGCUUGCGGCAGAUUAGCUAGUUGGUAAGGUAACGGCUUACCUAGGCUACGAUGUGUAACCGGUCUUAGAGGACGGUCGGUCACACUGACACUGAAUAACGGGUCAGACUCCUACGGGAGGCAGCAGUCGGGAAUUUUGGGCAAUGGGCGAAAGCCUGACCCAGCAACGCCGCGUGAAGGAUGAAGUAUUUCGGUAUGUAAACUUCGAAAGAAUAGGAAGAAUUAAUGACGGUACUAUUUAUAAGGUCCGGCUAACUACGUGCCAGCAGCCGCCGUAAUAC